AGACGACGCUGGCGGCGUGCCUAACACAUGCAAGUCGAACGGGGUAGAUUCCUUCGGGGAUCUACUUAGUGGCGGACGGUGAGUAACGCGUGAGCAACCUGCCUUUCAGAGGGGGACAACAGUUGGAAACGACUGCUAAUACCGCAUAACGUAUAUUUGGGACAUCCCUGAUAUACCAAAGGAGCAAUCCGCUGAAAGAUGGGCUCGCGUCCGAUUAGAUAGUUGGUGAGGUAACGGCUCACCAAGUCGACGAUCGGUAGCCGGACUGAGAGGUUGAACGGCCACAUUGGGACUGAGACACGGCCCAGACUCCUACGGGAGGCAGCAGUGGGGGAUAUUGCACAAUGGAGGAAACUCUGAUGCAGCAACGCCGCGUGAGGGAAGAAGGUUUUCGGAUUGUAAACCUCUGUUUUAGUGAAGAAACAAAUGACGGUAGCUAAAGAGGAAGCCACGGCUAACUACGUG
rnacentral:rRNA from 1 species